rnacentral:misc_RNA from 1 species
GAAACGCGAUAGGUAAUGUGAAUUGCAGAAUUCCGUGAAUCAUCGAAUCUUUGAACGCAUAUUGCGCCUUCUGGUAUUCCGGUAGGCAUGCCUGUUUGAGCGUCAGCAAAAAACCCCCUUCAGCUGAGUAAUUUCAUGCUGGUGUUGGGCCUCGGAGGCUGGUGGGAGACCCUCACGGUCCUGCCUGCGCCUGCCCUAAACUUGCUUGUACGACCGCCAGCCUUUCCGGCCAGGUCCAUGGAGUGGUUUUACAAUCUUCCAUCAGAACCUGCUGGAGCUCCGGUGGCGUUAAACCUGAUGGUCCCCCCCCCCCCGGGGGCGGUGGACUGAAGUUUUGACCUCAAAUCAGACAAGAAUACCCGCUGAACUUAA